CCUUCGGGGUGAGUGGCAGACGGGUGAGUAACGCGUGGGAACGUGCCCUUCAGUUCGGAAUAACCCAGGGAAACUUGGGCUAAUACCGGAUACGUGCGAGAGCAGAAAGAUUUAUCGCUGAAGGAUCGGCCCGCGUCUGAUUAGCUAGUUGGUGAGGUAAUGGCUCACCAAGGCGACGAUCAGUAGCUGGUCUGAGAGGAUGAUCAGCCACAUUGGGACUGAGACACGGCCCAAACUCCUACGGGAGGCAGCAGUGGGGAAUAUUGGACAAUGGGCGCAAGCCUGAUCCAGCCAUGCCGCGUGAGUGAUGAAGGCCUUAGGGUUGUAAAGCUCUUUCGGCGGGGACGAUAAUGACGGUACCCGCAGAAGAAGCCCCGGCUAACUUCGUGCCAGCAGCCGCGGUAAUACGAAGGGGGCUAGCGUUGUUCGGAAUCACUGGGCGUAAAGGGCGCGUAGGCGGCUUUAUAAGUCGGGGGUGAAAGCCUGUGGCUCAACCACAGAAUUGCCUUCGAUACUGUAUGGCUUGAGACCGGAAGAGGUUAGUGGAACUGCGAGUGUAGAGGUGAAAUUCGUAGAUAUUCGCAAGAACACCAGUGGCGAAGGCGGCUGACUGGUCCGGUUCUGACGCUGAGGCGCGAAAGCGUGGGGAGCAAACAGGAUUAGAUACCCUGGUAGUCCACGCCG
rnacentral:rRNA from 1 species